GAUGAACGCUGGCGGCGUGCCUAAUACAUGCAGGUCGAGCGAACAGAUGAGGAGCUUGCUCCUCUGACGUUAGCGGCGGACGGGUGAGUAACACGUGGAUAACCUACCUAUAAGACUGGGAUAACUUCGGGAAACCGGAGCUAAUACCGGAUAAUAUAUUGAACCGCAUGGUUCAAUAGUGAAAGACGGUUUUGCUGUCACUUAUAGAUGGAUCCGCGCCGCAUUAGCUAGUUGGUAAGGUAACGGCUUACCAAGGCAACGAUGCGUAGCCGACCUGAGAGGGUGAUCGGCCACACUGGAACUGAGACACGGUCCAGAAUCCUACGGGAGGCAGCAGUAGGGAAUCUUCCGCAAUGGGCGAAAGCCUGACGGAGCAACGCCGCGUGAGUGAUGAAGGUCUUCGGAUCGUAAAACUCUGUUAUUAGGGAAGAACAAAUGUGUAAGUAACUAUGCACGUCUUGACGGUACCUAAUCAGAAAGCCACGGCUAACUACGU
rnacentral:rRNA from 1 species